rnacentral:rRNA from 1 species
GAUGAACGCUGGCGGCGUGCCUCAAACAUGCAAGUCGAGCGGGGCUAUGUAAUAUCGCAAGGUAGAACAUAGCCUAGCGGCGAACGGGUGAGUAACACGUGGGUAACCUGCCUGGAAGACAGGGAUAACGAUUCGAAAGGGUCGCUAAUACCUGAUAAUAUCCUUUCAUCGCAUGGUGAUAGGAAGAAAGGGGAAACCCGCUUUCAGAUGGGCCCGCGUCCCAUCAGCUAGUUGGUAAGGUAAAGGCUUACCAAGGCGACGACGGGUAGCCGGUCUGAGAGGAUGUACGGCCACACUGGGACUGAGAUACGGCCCAGACUCCUACGGGAGGCAGCAGUUGGGAAUCUUAGGCAAUGGACGAAAGUCUGACCUAGCGACGCCGCGUGAGGGAAGAAGGCCUUCGGUUGUAACCCUGUCAUGGGGAAGAAGUAAGUGACGGUACCCAACGAGGAAGCCCUGCUAACUACGUG